UACAGAGGUCUCAAGCGUUGUUCGGAUUUAUUGGGCGUAAAGGGCGCGUAGGCGGCAGGAUAAGUUAGAUGUGAAAUGUCGAUGCUUAACAUCGAACCUGCAUUUAAGACUGUCUUGCUUGAGCGCUAGAGAGGAGUCUGGAAUUUACGGUGUAGCAGUGAAAUGCGUAGAUAUCGUGAGGAAGGCCAGUGGCGAAAGCGAGACUCUGGCUAGAUGCUGACGCUGAGGCACGAAAGCUGGGGGAGCAAACGGG
rnacentral:rRNA from 1 species